rnacentral:rRNA from 1 species
UUCGCUAGAGAUAGCUUAGUGCCUUCGGGAACUCUGAGACAGGUGCUGCAUGGCUGUCGUCAGCUCGUGUUGUGAAAUGUUGGGUUAAGUCCCGCAACGAGCGCAACCCUUAUCCUUUGUUGCCAGCACGUAAUGGUGGGAACUCAAAGGAGACUGCCGGUGAUAAACCGGAGGAAGGUGGGGAUGACGUCAAGUCAUCAUGGCCCUUACGAGUAGGGCUACACACGUGCUACAAUGGCGUAUACAAAGAGAAGCGAACUCGCGAGAGCAAGCGGACCUCAUAAAGUACGUCGUAGUCCGGAUCGGAGUCUGCAACUCGACUCCGUGAAGUCGGAAUCGCUAGUAAUCGUAGAUCAGAAUGCUACGGUGAAUACGUUCCCGGG